rnacentral:tRNA from 1 species
AGUGGCAUAGCAUAGUGGUUAAGAAACUGGGCUUGUAACACAGAGAUUGUAGGUUCAAUUCCUGGUUAGGUCACUG